rnacentral:lncRNA from 1 species
CGACUCCUUUCCCAAUCGCCACAGUCCCUUUCUCCCUCGCUUAGAUCCAGGGCUUGUUGCUACUGUUGGAGUAGAAGAAGAGGUCUCGACGGAGCUCGCGGGAUCUGAGAUCCGCUCUGCUAAUCUUUUCCACAUUUACUUCCACAAUUUUUAAGGUUCCAAUACUCCAACUUUGUUUAAAUCUCUGUGUUCUCUCUUUUCUUCCUCAAUUUUUCUCAUAUUUUUUCAGCUAAAUCGGGUUAUUUUCUUGGAAUAGUUGCUUCUAGCAGUUUUCUCCCUCUAUUUGGUUUGAACCGAUCGGUUAUGUAUCAAUUUGUUAGACGUUAGGACCUUGGGGAAAUCAGAUAUUUAUUUAUUUUUCGCCUAACUAUAUGUUUUUUCUGCUAUUCUGAUGUGGACGACUGGAUUUGUCGCGUGCACCCUUGUGAAGUACUUGGAUUUGACCUGGAAAUUGGUAAGAGCCUCUUAAAGACACUGUUUUUUACGGUGGAUCUGGGGCUUUCGCCUUGGAGGUUGUGGUUCGCAGGUUAAUGUAAGCUUGCUUUUGGUGGGAACUGUAAGGGAAAGUGGUUUGAUCUUUUGUUUUACACUAAUAAUAAAUUGGAAGUUUAAUUCGUUAGGUAUGACCUUGCAUGGCCCUGCCACUGUAAAACUGACUAUGAAGGUAAACAAUAAAACAAAGGGGGGACUUUGCAGCAAAUUUAUCAUUUCCAGGUUUCAAUAUCCUGGCUUAUCAGUAGACAGAAUUGAAGUAAAUAAUUUGGUGACUUAUCGGUUGGAAAUUAACCUGUAAAUAGGCCAGAUUCCAUUUGUUUCUCGUUGUUUUUGUGGUACAUCUGUUUCGACUAUAN